rnacentral:rRNA from 1 species
AGCGUUGUUCGGAAUUACUGGGCGUAAAGGGCUCGUAGGCGGCCAACUAAGUCAGACGUGAAAUCCCUCAGCUUAACUGGGGAACUGCGUCUGAUACUGGAUGGCUUGGAUUUGGGAGAGGGAUGCGGAAUUCCAGGUGUAGCGGUGAAAUGCGUAGAUAUCUGGAGGAACACCGGUGGCGAAGGCGGCAUCCUGGACCAGUAUUGACGCUGAGGAGCGAAAGCCAGGGGAGCAAACGGG